GCAUCGCUCCUAACUUGUAAAAGAAAGAAGAACCAGUCUUUUUCGUUGUUAUAUGCAACGGUUACGGACGGGUUCGAAUCCGUUUGAUAUUUUGAAAACUUUACUUUUCGACCUUUUCAAGGAAUGCUUUAUGGGCAUGGGGUUGAAUGACAUUGUAUUUUCUGCAGUUUUUAUUUCCCUGUUUCUGCAUGAGAAAGUUAACAAAGACUGGAAAAAUAGAUUUUAUUCGUUCUCUGUAAUCAUUUAAUGAAAUAUCUUGCCUGUUGAUUUAACGUCUAACGAUUUAGUUAAGCGAGAAGUGCGAGCUCCACCCAGUUCAUGGAAUUUCCAGGCUGUCACUGCAAAGAAUUUACUUGGCCGUCUGUUGAAUUGCUGUGUAAGCAAUUUUAACAUGUUUCAUGCUUAGAAUCCAACUUCUACUCCAAAGAUCGGAUUUUGGCAGAUGCGCCAUGGAUCUUGUGGAUGAGGAAUCACCUGCCCACUUUAGAAUUAGCAACCAGAGGUGCUUCUUGCCUUGAGAAAGUGGGAAAUGACACGAGUCGUGUUAUUAAAAACUCCAACCCAACAAGCUCUCUCUCACUCUCUCUCCCUCUCCCUCUCUCUCUCUUUCUCUCUCUCUCUCUGUGCACGGUGCACAGACGCGCAUAGCUUCUGGGCAAUGCAUUCUUUAUAGUUUCAGGAGGGAAUGGCAGAUGAGACCCACCCUGGAAGUAGUGAAUGCUCACCAACUCCAAGCACGCCGAUGGGUACUCCUCUGAGAAAGGUGUUGGAUAGAAUAUCAGGUUUUGCCACUCCUUGGAGGAGCAGUUCAGCUCUACGCGGUCGGAGAAUUUUUCACAGGGAUGUUGAACGAGAAGAGUUGCAGUAUGCUGCUACUCGUUGUCUCUCUUCCUACUACAGCGUCUUUGUUGCUCGCCUUGCUAUCAUGGUCAUGCUUGCCAUUUUAAUUGGGCUUCUAACCAUAUUAACAUGGCAUUUUACAAAGAUCUACACAACAAAAUCACUGAAUAGCUUGGCAUAUGGCCUUCGAAAUGAACUCCUGCAACGUCCAAUUUUACGGAUGUGGAACAUCUUAAAUUCUACCUCUGAGAUAACAACAGCACAGGUUAAGCUGUCAGAGUAUGUGUUCAGACGGUACAACAAUCCUGAAACUCAUGCCGAACAAGUUGAGCAGCUAUACGAAUCAAUGAGGGAUGUAACAUGGGCACUAUUUGCAAGUCGUAAAGCUCUCAAUGCAAUAACUAUAAAUUACAGAAAUGGUUUUGUCCAGGCAUUCCAUAGAGAUCACAGGAGUAACAAUACAUUCUACAUCUACUCGGAUCUUGUAAACUAUUCUAUCAGUGUCAGCGGAUCAUCUUAUGAAAUCGGUUCGCUAUCAUCACAAGAAGGUUGGAAAGAUCAAUCCAUACAUGGUAACAUUUCUGCAGUUUGGUAUCAGGAGCCCCUUGAUCCCAUCACUGGUGAGAAGAAAGGGAAAGCAAAGCCAAUCCCACCAGAUGACCUAAUCAAUAUUGCAGGGCUUUCAGAAGUACCUGAUGGUGUAGCUUCAUGGCAUGUAGCAGUGAGCAAAUACACAGAUACACCCUUGCUUUCAGCAGCACUGCCAGUUUGGGACCCUUCAAAUGAAAGUAUUGUGGCUGUUGUGGGUGUUACUACAGCACUUUAUAGUGUAGGCCAGCUUAUGAAGGAGCUUGUUGAAGUCCAUAGUGGGCACAUAUAUUUGACAUCCCAAGAGGGUUAUUUACUUGCCACAUCCACGAAUGCUCCACUAUUAAGAAAUUCAACCGAGGGGCCCAAGCUUAUGAGGGCUAUUGAUUCUGAGGAUGAAGUAAUACAAAUGGGAGCUAAAUGGUUAGAGAGAGCCUACGGCAACAACUUUUCUCAGAGUCAUGAGGUUCAUGCAGAAAAUGCCAGGCUUGGCCACGAGCAGUAUUACAUUGACUCAUUUUUCCUAAAAUUGAAGAGGCUGCCCUUGGUGGGGGUCAUCAUCAUUCCAAGAAAAAAUAUAAUGGGGAAGGUAGAUGAGCGAGCCUUCAAAACAUUGGUUAUAUUGAUAUCUGCAUCUUUGUGUAUCCUAUUCAUUGGAUGUAUCUGCAUUUUGAUACUGACAAAUGGGGUGUCCAAAGAAAUGAAACUAAGGGCAGAGCUGAUAAGCCAUCUUGAUGCAAGAAGAAGAGCUGAGGCAUCUAGCAACUAUAAAAGCCAAUUUCUAGCAAACAUGAGUCAUGAACUGAGGACACCUAUGGCUGCGGUAAUUGGGUUACUGGACAUUCUCAUAUGUGAUGAUUGCCUCACAAAUGAACAGUACGCAACUGUUACCCAGAUUAGAAAGUGCUCAACAGCUCUACUCCGGCUUCUAAACAAUAUAUUGGAUUUGAGCAAGGUUGAAUCUGGGAAGCUGGUGUUGGAAGAUGCAGAAUUUGAUUUGGGGAGAGAACUUGAAGGACUUGUUGAUAUGUUCUCUGUGCAGUGCAUUAACCACAAUGUGGAAACUGUUUUGGAUCUCUCCGAUAAUAUACCAAAAUUAGUUCGAGGAGACUCUGCUAGAGCUGUUCAAAUAUUUGCAAAUCUAAUCAGCAAUUCUCUCAAGUUCACAUCAUCGGGUCAUGUAAUUAUACGAGGAUGGUGUGAGAACUCAAAUUCUUCCAUUGACAUUGAGAAGUUUCCUCUCGACCAUAAGAAAUCACAGCCUACACAUAAGAUAAAGUUCAAGCAGCAGGGAAGCCAUACAAAGAAGGCCUGCAAGAAAGAAAACAAAAUGAUUCUUCGGUUUGAAGUUGAUGACACUGGUUGUGGUAUUGAUCCAAGCAAGUGGGAAUCUGUAUUUGAAAGCUUUGAGCAAGCUGACCCCUCAACAACACGAACGCAUGGUGGCACUGGUCUUGGAUUAUGCAUCGUGCGGACCUUGGUUAACAAGAUGGGUGGAGAAAUCAAGGUUGCAAAGAAGGAUGGUCCAGGAACUUUAAUGCAGCUCUACUUGCUUCUCAAUGCACCUGCAGAUGGCACAGAACAGCACUGCCGAGUAGAUUUUUCGAACCAUAGUUUAGUGGUACUGCUUGCUCUACAUGGCAGAAUGGGGAGAUUGAUUAUGUCCCAAUGGCUACAUAAAAGUGGAGUGUUUACGAUGGAAGCAUCUGAAUGGAAUGAGCUGACACAAAUUCUUAGGGAAUUCUUCUGUAUCAGAAGGUCAGCUCGUAACGAUGGCUUUGAUGCACAGCGUUCUCUAAGUGAACCUUUGAACACUCAAGUACUGAGCAUACAAGACAUGAGGAACCCAGUCUUCAUCAUAGUUGUAGAUAUAGGACUGCUUGACUUGAGCACAGAUAUAUGGAAGGAACAAAUUAACUUUCUUGACAAUUACUUUGGGAAAGUGAAGUUUGCAUGGAUGCUUAAUCAUGAUACUUCAAAUGCCAUAAAGAUGGAACUCCGCCGAAAAGGACAUAUAUUGAUGGUGAAUAUGCCACUCUACAAGGCAAAGAUGAUUCACAUUCUUGAAGCUGUAAUAAAGGAGAGAAAUGUUGAACUGCAGAAGAAAAGUUCAAAUGCUUUGAGAACUACCAAAGAAGGCAAUCUGCAUGAAUAUCAUGAGAUUGAUACCACACAUUUUGAUGUUGCCAGCUCUGAUGAUUCUGAUAUGCCUGAAAUGCGUAGUUCUAAUUCCAUAUGUGGCUCACGUAAUGGGGAAAAACGAAGAGAGAGGAUUACAAAACCUUGUUCUUCAGGCUACCAGAAAAUUAACAACUGUUUAGUUGAACUCACUCGUGUUUAUUCAAAAGAGAAUUAUUCAACUGAAAGAGAUCCAUGUCAAGACAGGCACAACUCUCAUGAUGUUCAAAAUGAAGAACCUAAAUGUUGCACACAAGCAUCCCUUUCAGCAGAACCUCAAAGUGAAAAUGCUGAAUGCUGCGAACAACAUUUGGUUAGCAGCUGUCCUACAGCACAGGGUAAUUUAUACUCAAGCAAGGCUAUGAAUGAACAGAAAUCUCUUGAGGGCCUACGUAUACUGCUUGCAGAAGAUACCCCAGUACUCCAGAGAGUUGCAACCAUAAUGCUAGAAAAAAUGGGUGCUACAGUAGUUGCUGUGGGGGAUGGCCUUCAGGCAGUAGAUGCUCUGAAUUGCAAGCAAAGUGCAGAAGCUUGUCAAAGGGAUUGUGUCUGUGAAGAUAGAAACAUAAGAUUGCAAGCAGAAAACAGGGAUUUCCCUCUAUAUGACUUGAUCCUAAUGGAUUGCCAAAUGCCAAAGAUGGAUGGUUAUGAAGCAACAAAGAUAAUCAGGAAAUCAGAAGCUGGAACCGGAUUGCACAUUCCUAUUGUUGCAUUGACCGCCCAUGCAAUGUCAUCAGAUGAAGCCAAAUGCUUGGAGGUGGGCAUGGACGCUUAUCUAACAAAACCAAUUAACUACAAGCUGAUGGUUUCCACCAUUCUUUCACUCACUACAAGAACGGCCUACGUCAAGCGAGAGCUAACAAACCAGUAGCUUAUGCAGCCUUCAGAUGGAAGUCUCGCACCCGUGUGAUGCAGUUAAAGGAGGAUCUCAAACUCAAAAAUAGUGGCAAUCGCACUGUCACAGAAUUUCUCCAGGCUAUCAAACUCAUCGCCGAUGAACUGGCCAUAAUUGAUCAUCCCAUCUCCGAUGAAGAUUUGAGCCUUUAUAUUCUCAAUGGUUUGGGUCCUAAGUAUCGGGAGAUUGCUGCUCUCAUACGAGCUCGAGAAAACUCUCUCACGUUUGAGGAGCUCCAUGACCCGCUAGUUGGCUAAGAGAGCUAUCUCUGUCAUUCGGACCAAUAAGCUACGCAACCAUUGGUUGCAGCUACAAGUUUCAGCCAGUGAAUGGGAGGCCCAUCUGGAUCAAAUGGACAAUGUUCCUCCUCAAAUAAAGGCCGUGACAAUGCGAAACGCAUUCGGGCUUCUGAAAGUAUAAGCCCAAAUGCCAAUUGUGUGUCAAUUGGACCACAUCGCCAAAAAUUGUCCGAAGCAUGUUUCCAGUGAUUUCUCGGCAAAUUGUGCUGCCUCCUCUAAAAGCAAAGAUUAGAAAUGGAUUGGAUCACGGAGGCGACACUACUCAAAGGCGAAUAUGAAGAUGAUGUGUACCCUUUGCUGGAAACAAUGGCUACAAUUUCAAAACCGCAAUUGCUUAUGUUCAUGAACAUACUACGGCAAAUGGAUGGCAUAAGCGUCUUGGCCACCCUACUUCAAAAAUUGCCUAACAUCUUAUUCGCAUUUUUUUUUUUUUUGCCUAUUCAUAAAAAUGGGCAUUCAUCUCUUUGUGUCUUAUGUUCUCAAAAUAAAGCACAUCGGCAUAUGUUCCAAUCUUAUGGUUUAAAUAGCACAGCACCACUGCAAUUAAUCUAUACAGAUGUUUGGGGUCCCUCUUA